GACGAACGCUGGCGGCGUGCCUAAUACAUGCAAGUCGAGCGAAGUUUUUCUGGUGCUUGCACUAGAAAAACUUAGCGGCGAACGGGUGAGUAACACGUAAAGAACCUGCCUCAUAGACUGGGACAACUAUUGGAAACGAUAGCUAAUACCGGAUAACAGCAUUAACUGCAUGGUUGAUGUUUGAAAGUUGGUUAUGCUAACACUAUGAGAUGGCUUUGCGGUGCAUUAGCUAGUUGGUGGGGUAAAGGCCCACCAAGGCGACGAUGCAUAGCCGACCUGAGAGGGUGAUCGGCCACACUGGGACUGAGACACGGCCCAGACUCCUACGGGAGGCAGCAGUAGGGAAUCUUCCGCAAUGGGCGAAAGCCUGACGGAGCAACGCCGCGUGAGUGAAGAAGGAUUUCGGUUCGUAAAGCUCUGUUGUUAGGGAAGAAUGGAUAUGUAGUAACUAUACAUGUACGAGACG
rnacentral:rRNA from 1 species